rnacentral:rRNA from 1 species
UGCCAUACCACCCUGAACGCCCCCGAUCUCGUCUGAUCUCAGAAGCUAAGUAGGGUCGGGCCUGGUUAGUACUUGAAUGGGAGUCUGAGUUUUUUAACGGGCACAC